AGAGUUGAUCAUGGCUCAGGAUGAACGCUGGCGGCGUGCUUAACACAUGCAAGUCGAACGAAGCAGUUAUUACGAUCCCUUCGGGGUGACGAUUACUGACUGAGUGGCGGACGGGUGAGUAACGCGUGGGUAACCUGCCUUGUACAGGGGGACAACAGUUGGAAACGACUGCUAAUACCGCAUAAGCGCACAGCUUCGCAUGAAGCAGUGUGAAAAGUUUUUCGGUACAAGAUGGACCCGCGUCUGAUUAGCUAGUUGGUGAGGUAACGGCUCACCAAGGCGACGAUCAGUAGCCGACCUGAGAGGGUGACCGGCCACAUUGGGACUGAGACACGGCCCAAACUCCUACGGGAGGCAGCAGUGGGGAAUAUUGCACAAUGGGCGAAAGCCUGAUGCAGCGACGCCGCGUGAGCGAAGAAGUAUUUCGGUAUGUAAAGCUCUAUCAGCAGGGAAGAUAAUGACGGUACCUGACUAAGAAGCACCGGCUAAAUACGUGCCAGCCGCGGC
rnacentral:rRNA from 1 species